UCUGAAUUAUAUUGUAACAUAAAAAAAAUUUUUAAAAAUCAAAUACAAUCAGAAUUGUCAUGCAGUGUUAACCUAAAAGCACUUUGUUGGCCUUCUCUGUUGGUCUUCAUGCAGUCCUGGAAAGAUUCUUCCUUGGAUCUUAUGCUGUCUCGUGAUCAUUGGCAUUUUGAUGUCGACCAUGUUUUGGAAAUAGGUCCACUUGAGCUUGGGAAAUGGGUCGCCUAAUUAGGAAAGUUGCUCCAGCACGGCGAUGUUCUUCUCAACCAGGAACUUAAGGAUGAGCAUGGUGAAGCAGUUAUGAGUUUUCCCGCCACACCUCUCACCUCCUCUUAAGCAGUGAACUAAGCAAACCCUUCAGGAACUCUUUGUAUUGAAUUCUGAUUCCAGCAUGUUGCCUAUCGACCGGUCAGCUCACCUGAAGACAAAAGCUUUUGAAAAUCCAUGAUGUUGUUCUGGAUCUCAUGUGAUUGUGCAGAUGUCCAUAAAUUGUACGGAUGUUCUCCUGAUCUCGUCUGGAGUUGAAACAAACAUGGCAGAAGCGGUACAAGAAGACUUUAAUCCAGUCCGAGACGGAAGCUGCCCCAACUACAGUCUUUGACUCGGGGUGUAAAACCCCACUCCUGAGAUUUCUCUUCAUGUGAAUCCCUUUACUUUUAUUCUCCAGCCCCCCGCAGCUUCCUUUGCUGCUGGCAGCGCACUAACCCGUUAAGCUUUUUUCAAUGACCCGCUGCCUCUGCGAACAGCUUUACAGUAUCCCUGAGCCGGAGUCAUGCAUCUUGCUCUCCCCUGUGUGCACACACUUCACCUCUCCCUUCCCAUCCAAUCCUCAUCAGCCUCCCCCAGUGGAAGAAAGUUAUUCUGCGUUAUUGCACAGGAGCCCCCGUCUUCUGUGUCAACAAUGCACACAGACACAAACAGCAAAAUACAAAUAUUGACUCGGGAUGGUAGAAGCUGUUUCCUCUCAAGCCGUGACUCACACGCUGCAACAGGUCAGAGCUGAGAAAAGACUUUGGGCAGCUGGCGGGCUGGCAAACUGAGCCUGGAAGGAAGCCCACCGAGACUUGGCUCGGUUGUCUUUGGACGCCUUGGAAGCUGAGCUGCAAAACUGCAGGGGUGCGGAUUUAUUCCUAACCACAACAAUGGAAAAGGUUUCCAUAUUCCAAGGGAUCACGUGUCUGUGGGAAACAAGAGGAAGAAUAUGGAUCCAAGAUAGCUCAAGAUGGCUACAGAGGAUCCUGCUGUCCCUAAAGGCACCCCGUUCCAGCACAUU